rnacentral:rRNA from 1 species
GAGAGUUUGAUCCUGGCUCAGGACGAACGCUGGCGGCGUGCCUAACACAUGCAAGUCGAACGGAGUUGAAAGGAGCUUGCUUUUUUCAACUCAGUGGCGGACGGGUGAGUAACGCGUGAGUAACCUGCCUUUCAGAGGGGGAUAACGUUCUGAAAAGAACGCUAAUACCGCAUAAGAUUGUAGUUUCGCAUGGGACAGCAAUCAAAGGAGCAAUCCGCUGAAAGAUGGACUCGCGUCCGAUUAGAUAGUUGGCGGGGUAACGGCCCACCAAGUCGACGAUCGGUAGCCGGACUGAGAGGUUGAUCGGCCACAUUGGGACUGAGACACGGCCCAGACUCCUACGGGAGGCAGCAGUGAGGGAUAUUGGGCAAUGGGGGAAACCCUGACCCAGCAACGCCGCGUGAGGGAUGACGGUUUUCGGAUUGUAAACCUCUGUCCUCUGUGAAGAUAGUG